UUCUGCCUACGGGGGGCAGCAGUAGGUUAUCUUGUUCGUUGGGCGACCGCCUGAUGGAGCAACGCCGCGUGGGUGAAGAAGGUCUUCGGAUCGUAAAACCCUGUUGUUAGAGAAGAAAGUGCGUGAGAGUAACUGUUCACGUUUCGACGGUAUCUAACCAGAAAGCCACGGCUAACUACGUGCCAGCAGCCGCGGUAAUACGUAGGUGGCAAGCGUUAUCCGGAUUUAUUGGGCGUAAAGGGAACGCAGGCGGUCUUUUAAGUCUGAUGUGAAAGCCUUCGGCUUAACCGGAGCAGUGCAUUGGA
rnacentral:rRNA from 1 species